UUGACUUUCACUACGUGUACUUCAAUAUACCCUGUUGUGAAUCGGUUGUAAGAGGAUGUACUAGGUGAUGUCUUUUACACGUGCAUUAGUCCAUCAUGACCCUCUAUGAAGUCAUUGUGAAAUAUGCAAAUGCUGUGCUUACACCUUGGUUAAUACUGCAAUGAUUAAUUUAAGUGCUAAAAGUAGUUUUUAAGAGGUUGUGAAUAACGUCCACUGAUGUCUUUUACACGUCUAGACUAGACUAGUAGGAAAAAACAGAAUUAUCUUUAUGAAAUAUACGAUUUGUAUACAAAAUAAAUAUAUGAACUUUAUCUUGUUUAAAUAAAUUAUAAUCACAAAGUGCGCAGUGUGAUUGCAAAGCCACAAUACAUCUUAGUCAUUAUCUCAAUCUGUUUAUUAUUGAAUGUAUGCAUAUAAAUGUAAAGCAGAUAUAUCCUGUCACCAUUUAGGUCUUGGAUGUAAUUUCAAAAACUGCGCUGCCAAGAUUGUAUGAACAAAAUAUAGUAAUAAAUCUCGGGAUAUUACAAAAUCGCGUGAUAUGAUAGAUUAUCUUGCGAGAUAGUUAUCACAUCACCUGUUAUCCUGGAAGGUCCUCGAUUGACAUGCAACCAUGAGGAGAGGGUGAAUUUACGAAGGAGUUUUGUCUAUAUAUUAUAUAAAAUCUACUGUUGGGUAAGUACAUUUUGUAUCAUUUGAUUAACGUGCUUAAGUUUUACUUGACACGAGGGAACCGAACUAAACGUUGCCAGAAUUGUCCACACAAAUGGGUAAAAUUAGCUAACUUAGUAGGCUAACAGUUACUCUGAACUUAUACAUGGUAUACCAUAAAGUAUGUUUAAUGAUACAGUCAAAGUUAUUACUUGAACUUAUUUAUGUAGCCUUUUGAGAGUUUCUUUCAGAAAGCAAAUUAUCUGAAAAAGAAAAGUUAUUUGGCAUGAUGGAAUUGUAAUGAUUUGAUUGCUUUAACAUUGCAGUUGUAAAAUGUUAAAUACUGUUCUGUAUUAAAAGCUCAGUAUAAGUGUUUGAUUAACUUCCUUUGCUUUUGUUUUGUACAAAGGAAAAGCAGAACCUAAUCCAAAUAAAAAUAAACAAGCUGUUAAAAAGACUGCGUCCUACUCAGAUCCUCCUCCAAAAUAUAACCAUUCAAAACCCAAACCAGUUGAAGGUGGUCAACACAAACCAAAUAAAGAUGUUGCAGAUUCUACAAACAAUAAAAAAUAAGGCAUGGCAAACUGUAGAAUUGUGUAGAUGUGGCUUAAACAGUCUACACAUUUGCUAAUGUUCUAAUUUGUCAUAUGUCCUUGUUUGUGCUAAAGAUCAAGUUUUGUGUCCAACACACUUGGAUGAGACGUGCCCGACCCCUGACUUUGUCUACCCUACAUUAAGUUGUGAUGGCACACAUCAUGACAGUAAACAUCGGUAUCAAGAUGGUGUGAUUGAUCUAUACCCUAGAAUAAGCUGUGACACUAUGAGACAUACAUGCUACUGAUACUUUUUGUU